rnacentral:rRNA from 1 species
UUUACCUAUGGGGGGCAGCAGUGGGGAAUAUUGCACAAUGGGGGAAACCCUGAUGCAGCGACGCCGCGUGAGUGAAGAAGUAUUUCGGUAUGUAAAGCUCUAUCAGCAGGAACGAGACAAGACGGUACCUGAGUAAGAAGCCCCGGCUAACUACGUGCCAGCAGCCGCGGUAAUACGUAUGGUGCAAGCGUUAUCCGGAUUUACUGGGUGUAAAGGGAGCGCAGGCGGCACGGCAAGCCUGAUGUGAAAGCCCGCGGCCCAACCGCGGGACUGCAUUGGGAACUACCGGGCUGGAGUGCCGGAGG